rnacentral:rRNA from 1 species
CCUACGGGAGGCAGCAGUGAGGAAUAUUUGUCAAUGGACGAGAGUCUGAACCAGCCAAGUAGCGUGAAGGAUGACUGCCCUAUGGGUUGUAAACUUCUUUUAUAUGGGAAUAAAAUGUUCCACGUGUGGGAUUUUGUAUGUACCAUCUGAAUAAGGAUCGGCUAACUCCGUGCCAGCAGCCGCGGUAAUACGGAGGAUCCGAGCGUUAUCCGGAUUUAUUGGGUUUAAAGGGAGCGUAGGUGGAUUGUUAAGUCAGUUGUGAAAGUUUGCGGCUCAACCGUAAAAUUGCAGUUGAAACUGGCAGUCUUGAGUACAGUAGAGGUGGGCGGAAUUCGUGGUGUAGCGGUGAAAUGCUUAGAUAUCACGAAGAACUCCGAUUGCGAAGGCAGUUCACUGGACUGCAACUGACACUGAGGCUCGAAAGUGUGGGUAUCAAACAGGAUUAGAUACCCUAGUAGUC